rnacentral:rRNA from 1 species
AUGAACGCUGGCGGCGUGCCUAAUACAUGCAAGUCGAGCGAACAGACGAGGAGCUUGCUCCUUUGACGUUAGCGGCGGACGGGUGAGUAACACGUGGGUAACCUACCUAUAAGACUGGGAUAACUUUGGGAAACCGGAGCUAAUACCGGAUAAUAUUUCGAACCGCAUGGUUCGAUAGUGAAAGAUGGCUUUGCUAUCACUUAUAGAUGGACCUGCGCCGUAUUAGCUAGUUGGUAAGGUAACGGCUUACCAAGGCAACGAUACGUAGCCGACCUGAGAGGGUGAUCGGCCACACUGGAACUGAGACACGGUCCAGACUCCUACGGGAGGCAGCAGUAGGGAAUCUUCCGCAAUGGGCGAAAGCCUGACGGAGCAACGCCGCGUGAGUGAUGAAGGUCUUCGGAUCGUAAAACUCUGUUAUUAGGGAAGAACAAACGUGUAAGUAACUGUGCACGUCUUGACGGUACCUAAUCAGAAAGCCACGGCUAACUACGUG